CAGCGCCACGAGUGGGGACCACAUUUAUUGGGCCUAAAGCGUCCGUAGCCUGUUCGGUAAAUCUUUUGUGAAAUCAUCUCGCUCAACGUGAUGGAUUGCAGAAGACACUGCCAGACUUGGAACUGGGAGAGGUUAGAGGAAUUGCAGGGGUAGCGGUAAAAUGUUAUAAUCCCUGUAAGACCACCUGUGGCGAAGGCGUCUAACUAGAACGGUUUCGACGGUGAGGGACGAAAGCCAGGGGAGCGAUCCGGAUUAGAGACCCGAGUAGUCC
rnacentral:rRNA from 1 species